rnacentral:lncRNA from 1 species
ACUCCUCUUACACCAUACAGAAAGGAAGACGAAGAAAGUGAAGAUUUUCAUGAUAUCACAAAAUAUUGAAGUCUAGUAGGAGGACUAAUGUAUCUGGCAUCAACACGACCAGAUAUAUCAUUCGCAGCGUCUUAUCUAUCAAGAUAUAUGCAAGCACCUAAGCUACAACAUUAUAAAGAGGCUAUACGAGUGCUUUGUUAUAUCAAAGGAACUAGUAAUUAUGGUCUAAGUUUUCAGAAAGUUGCAGAGGCAAAGAAAGUUGGAUUCUCAGACUCAGAUUGGGCAGGAUGCAAGGAAGACAUGAAAAGCACGACAGGAUAUUGUUUUAGUCUGGGAAGCGCAGUGUUUUCAUGGCGGACACAAAAACAAGGAACAAUAGCACAAUCAACAGCAGAAGCAGAAUAUAUAGCUUUAUGUGCAGCAACAAAUCAAGUAGUAUGGCUAAGAAGACUACUAACCGAGUUAGGAUUUGAAGAGGAAGAACCGAUACCUUUGAUUUGCGACAACACCUCAGCAAUUGCAAUCGGUCGGAACCCA